UAUGAUCUCUUCAUCAAAUCAGAAGAGGUAUCACUCAUUUAUUUUAUAGACAGGACAACUAAUGCUUGGAGGAGAGCCAGGAUUGGAACUACCACUUCUUACUUCUUGUCCAGUAUUCCUUAUAUUACAGGAGUUUUUGGAGAACUCUUAGGAAACAAAGAGCACCUACAAUGUUUAUUAAAGGAGACUGUGCAUCAGUUCCAGAAAGAUGUUGACAGAUUAGAAGGAAUUUAAAGAGGAGCCAACACUGCUGGAAGGAAGGACAUAGGAGAGAUGAAAGGAGCUAAAUAUGUAUAGCUUGGCCAAAGGAUGAUUAAAGGGGAUAUGAUAACAGUUCCAAAGAAUGUGAGGGAUGUAAACAUCAUGGAAAGAGAAAAUGUAUUUAGAACUGAUCAAAGCAGUAUAUAAAAAGAAAUAAAAAUUAAUGCUCAACAUCAAGAAAAGCUGUUUUCAUGGAGAGACUUGUUAGCUUGUAAAUUGGAAUCCCAAGAGAAGUAUCAAAAACCCCAUAUACAAGGCAUUUAUGACUGAGCUAUCCUGCCUACAUUUGGGGAGGGCUUUUCCAGUUCUAAUUUUGAUGACUGAGAUCAUGGCCCUUCCUAGCAUGGAUUUGUCACCCAGUUCUGAUUGCACAGUUUUGCAUAUCGGGGUCAAAAGAAAGAGGAGUCUUGUUACAGUCUCGUAGAAGCCAAACUCAGGCACGUCCCCAACAUCAUGCAGUGCAACCUUGCAGAGACUGUCCCUGUAGCCUAAAUUAAAACUCUCAGAGUUUAGCCGAUUAACUCUGCCAUCAGAAGGUGAGGAUUCCUCCCUCUGUGGUGCCCCCUGUCGGAAGUUUCAGGUUGUGAGCAAGCUACAGACUGCUUCCUUGCUAUAAAAUUAGCCACAUUGGGUAAACAAGUGGGAACUUUCCUGAGGGAGCCUAGGAGGCAUUUGUAGUUCUUUGUCCUUCGAAUGCAGUAAGACAUUGCCAUUACAUGGGUGGGGAAUGAUCUUGUGUGUAUUGUGUGUGUGUGUGAAGUCACGUCCCCAGAAGGGGCACCGGAGCCCAUAGAACAUCAAAUAAAAUCUGAGGUCAGAGCUGUAAAAGGUAUUCACCUUUCAUUGGGAUGUAGCCACAGAAUUAUCUCUGCCCACAGGAGUCAAGCAAGAGAGGUGCCAAACUAAACAAAAAUUUAGAGGGCAGCCUUAAAAGGAAGAGUUGUCAUUCUUUCUAGUCCCAUUUAUUCAUUCAUUCAACUAACUGUUGAAUCCUCUUCUGUGGCUCUUAGGAGUGCAUGAUGGUAAGGGCUGAUAUAUCAUUUUGGUGGUAGGAAUGAGGAGGAAACAGUGGAUUUUUAGAGAAGUUUAGAAGCUAUGGAUGUGGAAUUAGGGAGGGGGCCACUGGUCAGUGACCACACCUGGGUGUUUGAGUUUCCAGGGCAGGAUUCUUUCCUUCUGCUCCUCCCAAAGGAACUCUGUAGUUUAGCUUUUCUUUCCUGACCAAGUACUUGGCAUGGAAUUAACCAGAUAAGUGACACAAUCUCCUAAAAGCAGAAGUAGGAGAACUAUGAAUGCCAUAGUGGCUUAUAUUUAUGCUCUAAAUUCUUUUAAGAUAGAUAUAAUUUGCUGUGUACAUAGAUUAUUAAGGGAUUUAAAUGUAUUCUCAAAUGUACAUAUUGUCAUAAAAUAAUAGUUCUGUGAUGUGAAGUAUGUACAACUAUUUUCCUUUAAUAAUCACUAUAAUUAAUAAUUUUGACUGUCCUUUUAGAACAAGGAAUGCCUUUUAUAGAUUGAGAGCUUACUAUGUGCUCUUCCAUGAGGUGACUGCACUGUCACUAGGUGCUGCUCUUCCUGGCAUUCUGUAGAGGGGUGACUGACACAUAUGGGCUUUAAAUAAUUGCCCAAAGUUAGAGGGCGAGUGGCAAGACCAGGAUUUGAGCUCAUACCAUUUGGCUGUUAAGUCCAUAUCCUUGACCACUGUGCUAUACUGUCUCAAUGAGGGAGGGCCUGUGGAAUUAUUUGGUCUGACUCUCCUAAGAUCUGUCCAAAAACAUUUGAGUUUAUAAUUAAUUUCUCUGUUGUAAGCAACACUUAAAAUUAUUCUAGUCUGUGUUAAUGCUGCCUAGAAUACUGUAGACAAGUGUCAGUGCUCUUCUCACCUCAUUGGAAACUCAUAAAAAUAAUUGCCAGGUGUUAACAUACACUUUUUUUAAAAAAAGAACUUUAACCCUGCAAAAACUGGCAAGGCCUCCUGGUCUGCCCAGUGUAUAAUUCUUUGCUCAGAAAAAGUAGAAGGGAUGGAUAGAGGCACUGAAUGAUUGAGGUAUGGUUUUUGAGUAUUUUCUUACAUGGAAAUAAAGGAAAAUGUAUAUAGCAUUUGGGAAUCAGAGGAAUUUGACUUUGGGCUCUGACGUUAGUAUCCCUCAGCCCUGAGCGAAGUCACUUAACCUCUGAGUGUUUCCUUGUCUUUAAAAUGGCGUUGGUACGUUUCACUUACCCUCAGAGAGAUACUGUUAAAAUUACCUGCGAUGAUACGUGUGAAAGGGUUUAACAUACAUAAGUCUGUGCAGACGCUCAUUACCCCUGAGGCUCGGGGGUGGGGAAGAGAGGAACCCCAGCAGAUAGUGGGCAGCCGCCUGGAGGAACUUGAGGCGUCCCCUUGGUUACUGUGUUAAUAAGGAAUUGUGCACCCCCUUGUGGUGAAGUGACAAUGUUAAAGGAGUUUUCUGAAAAGUACUUGAAUGUGGUUAUUGUGAGGUUUUUUAAAUUGUCACCUGAAAUUCUUUCCCAGUAGUGAAUGUACACAGUCUUUCUCAACAAAUCCCUAGGUCGCAUUGUUGGUAAAUUGCUUAGUCUUUCCUUAAUUUUGCUUGCAAAGAGAGAGAUUACAUUUCCCCCCAAUCUGAAUAUAUAUGUUACAUUUUCCUCCAUUUCUUUCCUAUUCCAGUCAUAGAGAGCCUUACCAGGUUUUUUUAUUUUCUUGGAUUACUGUAUUAUUUUGCUUUCCUCUGUGCUGUUUAUAUUUACUUUUCCCCCCUCUGAUUUGUUAUUUGUUAAAUUUUUAAUACACCGUUAGGGCUCUCGCUGUCACCUGUGCUAACACAAGUCCUCUGGCACCCAGCAUGUAGUAAGUGCUCAAUAAAUAGUAUUGAAUGGAUGCUGUCAGUCUUCUUAACCAUGCUUCAGUUUCUUUCCCCCUGUUACCUGUAGGGUACCCUCUUUUCCUUGGCAUCAGUUUUCCUGAAACCUACAGAAAUAAACUGAAGCAGUAUGGCAUUUCAGUCGUUUAAUAUUGUUUUUCUCAGUUUCCUCUCAAGUAAGAUGAGGGGGUGAGAAUGGGUGAUUUCCAAGGUUCUGACUCUGUAGGGAUAGGGAAAUAAGAGGAUCACCUAAUUUGGCAGAACCUGAGAGGGCUGUGAAAUGUCUUGGGUUUCUUCUCAGUUGCUUGGUGAAUACGGGGAGGCAGCAGAACAAGGUAGAGCAGAAGGAAGGGAAGAGGCUGGAUAAACAACAGGGUAAGAGAACAUUGUGUCGGCGGGGGAGUGGAGGGGGAUUAACAGGACAGUAGCAGCAUUCCAGAAAGAAGCUGUAACAUCCUGAGCUAUGUGAAAAUUUUUCAUAACUUAUACACAUUGUAUUGUGUGUAAUGUUCACAGGGGAUUAUCUGACUCAACAUCCUUUAUUCCCACACAUUGCUUACAUUAAGUUUGGGGAAAAAAAUCUUUUUCUCUAAUUGAGUUAUCCCUGAUCAUGUAGCAGUUCAGGCAACAGCAAAGAUUUUCUAAUAAGCUUUAUAUGUUCUUCAUUUUGCUAAAAAUUUCUUCUUCAAACCUGGCUCCUGAAAAGCAUUUUGUUGGUUUUAGAGAGCUUGUGUCACUGGUAUCACAGUGGGAGGCCAGUGUCUGCAAAGAAAGGGCCCUUACAUGUGGAAAGGGUGCAAGGGGGAGUUUGCCUUGGAUUUUGUCUCUGUUUUACAAUUCACAUCGAUGUAACUAACAAGAGACUUGAUACACUGUUCUGGGAGUUCCUGUCAUGGCUCAGCGGUAACAAACCCAUCUAGUAUCCAUGAGGAAUCAUGUUCCAUCCCUGGCUUGCUCAGUAGGUUAAGGAUCUGGUGUUGCUGUGAGUUGUGGUGUAGGCUGGCAGCUGCAGCUCUCAUUCGGCCCCUAGCCUGGGAACUUCCAUAUGCAGCAGAUGGGGUCCUAAAAAGACCAAAAAAAAACAAAAAACAAAAAACAAAAA
rnacentral:lncRNA from 1 species